CUGGUGAGCUGUAUUGACAAUAUAUCCCUGGUUCCAAGACGGUCUGGUCAAGAAGGGGUAGAUGGCUCACUUUUCUUAUGACCUCUUGAUGUGACACCUUCCUCGUGUCUAUUGGUAUUUCUUUCCUGAUGAAAGAAUGAAGGCUGCUAGGAGCAACAUGGCACUGGUAAAGUGAAGCAUAGUUACUGUUAGAGAGCUGUCUGUGAGGAAAGAGAUCCCUGUGAGAUGGAGUAAUUAGAAGAAGAUCCAAGGAGAAAGGGGUACUUGAAGCUGGCCCUCAAAGGAUGGAAUUAUUGGCUAGGCAGAGAGGAAGAGGGCGAACAUUCCAAGCAGGAGGCCAGCAUGAAGCCAAGUUGCACGUUGUUGAGAAAAUGGCAUGAUGGAAAAGGUGGAUGGGGAGGAGAUGAAACUGAUGAGGAUGGAAGAUUAGUAGGUGUGGUCAACCUUCUAAGCAGUCCUAGCAGCAGAAAAGGAAAUGGAGCUGAAGGACCAUCGAUCAUGGAAGGAUUAUGGAAUCUCAGCCCUGGGAAGAACCUUAGAGAUCAGAAAGAUGAGGGGAAGCAUGUGCAGUGGUCCAUCCUGUGGCUACUCUGGGAAACAUCUCUGCCUCUAUCUCCAUCUCGAGGCACACUCUGCCAGAUCAAUUGUCCUCUUUGUACAAAUAUUAAAUUAACCCAGGAAUCAAAUGUGAAUGACAGUAAGGCCUUGAUUAACCAGAAUGCUUGGGGAAUGGCGUAUUCUAGUUAAUUGAAUUUUCUGGUUGACCUGUAACAGAUCUUUUAAAAAUGUACAUGCUAGUAUAUUCCCAUGCCUUGGUAAGUACAGUAUGGUGAACCUUAUUUUAAAGAUUGAGAUAUUUUUAGGCCAUGAGGGUCAAUAUUCUGCAGGGUCAUGUGCAGCAUUUGGCAUUAUAGCUAAAGAAGGCAUAGGAGACUAGAUUGACUCUAUACAGAAUCCAAGACAUACCCUUAUCAUCUUCUUCUUCCUUUUUUUUCUUUUUAAACGAAUGUUUAUUUAAAAAUAAAAUCCUUGCUCUGAAGGUGUUUUGUUUUCUUCCACUUUUUUCUUUUAAUAGUUGAGUGUACCCUCUGUUUGUGCUGGAGAGGCAUGGGCUAUGGAUGUGAAUUGUUGCAUAUACUGUCAAAUAGGGCUGCUCUCUUAGCUAUUUUUGCUUUGCUCUUUUUCUUUAUUAUGAGGGAAGUCUCGUAAGGUGAUGAUGUAACAU